AUGAACGCUGGCGGCGUGCCUAAUACAUGCCAGUCGAGCGAACAGACGAGGAGCUUGCUCCUUUGACGUUAGCGGCGGACGGGUGAGUAACACGUGGAUAACCUACCUAUAAGACUGGGAUAACUUCGGGAAACCGGAGCUAAUACCGGAUAACAUGUUGAACCGCAUGGUUCAACAGUGAAAGACGGUCUUGCUGUCACUUAUAGAUGGAUCCGCGCCGCAUUAGCUAGUUGGUAAGGUAACGGCUUACCAAGGCAACGAUGCGUAGCCGACCUGAGAGGGUGAUCGGCCACACUGGAACUGAGACACGGUCCAGACUCCUACGGGAGGCAGCAGUAGUGAAUCUUCCGCAAUGGGCGAAAGCCUGACGGAGCAACGCCGCGUGAGUGAAGAAGGUCUUCGGAUCGUAAAACUCUGUUAUUAGGGAAGAACAAAUGUGUAAGUAACUAUGCACGUCUUGACGGUACCUAAUCAGAAAGCCACGGCUAACUACGUG
rnacentral:rRNA from 1 species